UCAAGCUAAGAAGAGCGCAGGGCGAAUGCCUUGGCACUGGGAGCCGACGAAGGACGCGAUAAGCUGCGAUAAGCUGCGGGGAGGAGCAAAUAUCCAUUGAUCCGCAGAUUUCCGAAUGGAGAAAUCCGUAUGGAGAAGUCCAUACAUCAUAUACUGAAUCCAUAGGUAUAUGAGGGAAACCGCCUGAACUGAAACAUCUAAGUAGGGCGAGGAAAAGAAAUCAACCGAGAUACCGCAAGUAGUGGCGAGCGAACGCGGCAGAGGCCAAACCCGUAGUAGAAAUACUAUGGGGGUUGCGGACUGCAUUUAGCAUUGUUGAUCUUUAACCGAAGGGUAUGGGAAGGCCCACCGAAGAACGUGAGAGUCGUGUAGGUGAAAAGGAGAGACAGCGAGCAGGAUCCAGAGUACCGCGGGACACGAGGAAUCCCGUGGGAAGCCGGGGGGACCACCCUCCAAGCCUAAAUACUACCCAGUGACCGAUAGCGUAUAGUACUGUGAAGGAAAGGUGAAAAGGACCCCGGGAGGGGAGUGAAAUAGAACCUGAAACCCUGUGCUUACAAGCACCGAGAGCCCGUCAAUGGGUGAUCGGGUACUUUUUGUAGAACGGUCCGGCGAGUAUAUGGAACAAGCAAGGUUAAGGUCUUCAGGACCGAAGCCGAAGGGAAACCAAGUCUUAAUAGGGCGCACAGUUUGUUUCAUAUGACCCGAAACCGGGUGACCUAUCCAUGUCCAGGUUGAAGUGGCGGUAAAACGCCAUGGAGGACCGAACCAACCCCCGUUGAAAAGGUGGUGGAUGAGGUGUGGAUAGCGGAGAAAUUCCAAUCGAACUCGGAUAUAGCUGGUUCUCCCCGAAAUAGCUUUAGGGCUAGCGUUGUGUUAGAUUACCGGAGGUAAAGCACUGAAUAGGCUAGGGGGCGAGAGUCUACCGACCCUUAUCAAACUCUGAAUGCCGGAUAAUUGAUGCACAGCAGUCAGACAGUGUGAGAUAAGUUUCAUUGUCAAAAGGGAAACAGCCCAGACCCACAGCUAAGGUCCCAAAUGUAUGUUAAGUGGAAAAGGAUGUCCAGUUGCACAAACAACCAGGAUGUUGGCUUAGAAGCAGCCACACAUUCAAAGAGUGCGUAACAGCUCACUGGUCGAGUGACCGGGCGCCGAAAAUGUAACGGGGCUAAACAUACAACCGAAGCUUGGGCUGCACAGCAAUGUGCGGGGUAGGGGAGCGUUGUGUGCGGGGUGAAGCACGAGCGGAAGCGCGUGUGGACUGCACAGAAGUGAGAAUGCCGGAAUGAGUAGCGCGAAUUAUGUGAGAAUCAUAAUGGCCGAAAGCCUAAGGUUUCUGGAGGAAGGUUCGUCCGCUCCAGGUUAGCCGGGAGCUAAGGUGAGGCCGAAAGGCGUAGCCGAUGCACAUACGGUGGAGAUUCCGUAGCCAUCAAAAGAUUUAAGCAGAGGGACACAGUAGAAGGGUACAUGCCGGGCGUUGGUAGCCCCGGUUGUAAGGGACCGAAAUUAGAGUAGGGAAGAUGGACUUGGAUACUGGCGAGAAAAGCUCUGUGGAUAUCUGCGAUGCCCGUACCGCAAACCGACACAGGUAGGUAGGAAGAGGAUUCUAAGGCCAACGGGAGAAGGGUUGUUAAGGAACUCGGCAAGUUGACCCCGUAACUUCGGGAGAAGGGGUGCUCUGGAAACAGAGCCGCAGAGAAUAGGUCCAGGCAACUGUUUAGCAAAAACACAGCUCUCUGCUAAAUCGAAAGAUGAUGUAUAGGGGGUGACGCCUGCCCGGUGCUGGAAGGUUAAGAGGAGGAGUGAGAGCCCCGAAUCGAAGCCCCAGUAAACGGCGGCCGUAACUAUAACGGUCCUAAGGUAGCGAAAUUCCUUGUCAGGUAAGUUCUGACCCG
rnacentral:rRNA from 1 species